rnacentral:rRNA from 1 species
UCCAGACUCCUACGGGAGGCAGCAGUGGGGGAUAUUGCACAAUGGGGGGAACCCUGAUGCAGCGACGCCGCGUGGGUGAAGGAGCGUUUCGGCGCGUAAAGCCCUCUCGGCAGGGAAGAAGGAGGACGGUACCUGACUAAGAAGCCCCGGCUAACUACGUGCCAGCAGCCGCGGUAAUACGUAGGGGGCAAGCGUUAUCCGGAUUUACUGGGUGUAAAGGGGGCGCAGACGGCAGCGCAAGCCAGGAGUGAAAGCCCGGGGCCCAACCCCGGGACUGCUCUUGGAACUGCGCGGCUGGAGUGCAGGAGGGGCAGGCGGAAUUCCUGGUGUAGCGGUGAAAUGCGUAGAUAUCAGGAGGAACACCGGUGGCGAAGGCGGCCUGCUGGACUGCGACUGACGUUGAGGCCCGAAAGCGUGGGGAGCAAACAGGAUUAGAUACCCGUAAAA